rnacentral:ncRNA from 2 species
UUCGGCAGCUAGGGGCGUCUUUUUAGACUGAGAUGACAUUAACGUCGGUCCCUUCGAACCUGAUGCGGGUAAUUCUGCCGGAGGGAAGCUGCUAUAGAUAUUA